UUUAUAAACGACAAGCAUGGGUGGGACUCGGACGCAGAUGUUGAAAUCAAGUAGUUGUUGAAAUAAAAACGAAAUUCCAGCCAAAACGGAAGUUUUCAGAUACAUUAAGUCUAAAAACUUAUCAUUGUCUCUUCAGUCUUUCAUGAAAAUGUGUAUUGAUAUUGCUUUAUGCCCAAGCUUCUUGAUGCACCAUUGCUGAUGCUUGUACAUGGACGACCCAUCAUCGUCUAGAAAAAAGCAUAAAAAAUUUCAGAAAAAACGUCGCGUGAAGGACAUAGAGCGGUCAAGUGGCGACUCGGUGACGGAAGACGACGAAGGUAAACCGGACGUUGUUCCGGUGCUUCCAAACAACCAAGAGCAGCACCAGUCCGGGAUGGAGGCGGACUACGAGAGCCAGGACGCCGGGGACAGGAAGACGAGCCCCUCCGGGGGGGCCGAGGGGCCGCUGUCCUCCAAUGCUCCAGAGACUUCCAUGGCAGGUCUACAGAAAAUUCAAAAAGCUGUUGAGUUAUUAUCCAUGUCUCAGGGUGCUCCAAAGAGUAUGGAGGAAGCUACAAAGAAACGCUACAGGCGGCGUACUCAUUCUACAACGUCAGCACGGUCACACCCUGGGUCGACCUGAUGCAGGACGCUCUGAUUGUGGCCAGAAAUAUGGGUUUUGAUGUGUUUAAUGCAUUGGACCUAAUGGAGAACAAAGAAUUCUUGGAGAAGCUGAAGUUUGGCAUCGGCGAUGGGAAUCUACAGUAUUACCUGUACAACUGGCGGUGUCCUCAGAUGAACCCCCACCAGGUUGGCUUGGUGCUUCACUGAGAAUUGUUCAACAUAGACUUCUAAUUAAUUGACAAAGAUAUUUAUCAAAGUGCUUUUUCAUGAAAGAAUGUAGAGGAGACCGAAGCAUUGAAAUCUCCCAGAGGAAACAACAGUCCGAAAGGGAGAGAGAGAUUCAGCACCCCACCUAAUCCUUACUUGCAGGUGUAAAUAUGUUACACAGAUGUAUAUUUCACAGGCAUAUAUUACACAGGUGUAUAUUUCACAUGUGUAUAUUACACAGGUGUCUAUUACACAUCCAUUAAUUACAAAAAAUGGUCUGCAAGAAGCUUAGAUCAUAGAUCUGCUUACAACACAUCUUUUCUCCUCAAAGGGACAUAACUCUGGUCAUUCUUCAUGCGUACUGUUCUUUCUGUGAGUAUUGUGUACAUGUAUUUUAUAAAACCCUCUCCAACUCUGUAUAAUAAUAAAAGCUUGGUCUGAAGUGAACAACAGCACUGCAUACACACAAUAUAGCUGACUGUAUGUGUGUGCAUGUGUGUGCGCGAGUAGAUAUUAACAUUAUUAUCAUGAAUAAAAUUGAAUUACUUUACUA
rnacentral:misc_RNA from 1 species